CAGCCGCCGCGGUAAUACGAAGGGUGCAAGCGUUAAUCGGAAUUACUGGGCGUAAAGCGUGCGUAGGCGGUUUGUUAAGACAGAUGUGAAAUCCCCGGGCUCAACCUGGGACCUGCAUUUGUGACUGCAUCGCUAGAGUACGGUAGAGGGGGAUGGAAUUCCCGGUGUAGCGGUGAAAUGCGUAGAGAUCGGGAGGAACAUCAGUGGCGAAGGCGGCCAUCUGGGACAACACUGACGCUGAGGCACGAAAGCGUGGGGAGCAAACAGGAUUAGAUCCCCCGUAGUCCCUGUCUCUUAUACA
rnacentral:rRNA from 1 species